rnacentral:rRNA from 1 species
UACGAAGGGGGCUAGCGUUGCUCGGAAUCACUGGGCGUAAAGCGCACGUAGGCGGAUUGCUAAGUCAGGGGUGAAAUCCUGGAGCUCAACUCCAGAACUGCCUUUGAUACUGGCGAUCUUGAGUCCGGGAGAGGUGAGUGGAACUGCGAGUGUAGAGGUGAAAUUCGUAGAUAUUCGGAGGAACACCAGUGGCGAAGGCGGCUCACUGGUCCAUUACUGACGCUGAGGUGCGAAAGCGUGGGGAGCAAACAGG